CUACGUGCCAGCAGCCGCGGUAAUACGUAGGUGGCAAGCGUUGUCCGGAAUUAUUGGGCGUAAAGGGCGCGCAGGCGGCUUCUUAAGUCUGUCUUAAAAGUGCGGGGCUUAACCCCGUGAUGGGAUGGAAACUGGGAAGCUCAGAGUAUCGGAGAGGAAAGCGGAAUUCCUAGUGUAGCGGUGAAAUGCGUAGAGAUCUGGAGGAAUACCGGUGGCGAAGGCGGCCCCCUGGACAAAGACUGACGCUCAGGUGCGAGAGCGUGGGGAGCACACAGGAUUAGAUACCCUGGUAGUCCACGCCGUAAACGAUGUCGACUUGGAGGUUGUGCCCUUGAGGCGUGGCUUCCGGAGCUAACGCGUUAAGUCGACCGCCUGGGGAGUACGGCCGCAAGGUUAAAACUCAAAUGAAUUGACGGGGGCCCGCACAAGCGGUGGAGCAUGUGGUUUAAUUCGAUGCAACGCGAAGAACCUUACCUACUCU
rnacentral:rRNA from 1 species